AACGAACGCUGGCGGCAUGCCUAACACAUGCAAGUCGAACGAGACCUUCGGGUCUAGUGGCGCACGGGUGCGUAACGCGUGGGAACCUGCCCUUAGGUUCGGAAUAACUCCCCGAAAGGGGUGCUAAUACCGGAUAAUGUCUUCGGACCAAAGAUUUAUCGCCUUUGGCUGGGCCCGCGUUGGAUUAGCUAGUUGGUAGGGUAAAAGCCUACCAAGGCGACGAUCCAUAGCUGGUCUGAGAGGAUGAUCAGCCACACUGGGACUGAGACACGGCCCAGACUCCUACGGGAGGCAGCAGUGGGGAAUAUUAAACAGUGGGCGAAAGCCUGAUCCAGCAAUGCCGCGUGAGUGAUGAAGGCCUUAGGGUUGUAUAGCUCUUUUACCCGGGAUGAUAAUGGCAGUACCGGGAGAAUAAGCUCCGGCUAACUCCGUG
rnacentral:rRNA from 1 species